UACAGAGGGUGCAAGCGUUGUUCGGAAUUAUUGGGCGUAAAGGGCGCGUAGGCGGUUUGUAAAGUUGGGAGUGAAAGCCCAGGGCUUAACCCUGGAAAUGCUCUCAAAACUCACAAACUAGAGAUUGGUAGAGGAUGGUGGAAUUCCUAGUGUAGAGGUGAAAUUCGCAGAUAUUAGGAGGAACACCGGUGGCGAAGGCGGCCAUCUGGGCCAAUACUGACGCUGAGGCGCGAAAGCGUGGGGAGCAAACAGG
rnacentral:rRNA from 1 species